rnacentral:rRNA from 1 species
GACGAACGCUGGCGGCGUGCUUAACACAUGCAAGUCGAGCGGUAAGGCCCUUUCGGGGUACGACGAGCGGCGAACGGGUGAGUAACGCGUGGGUGACCUGCCUCUAGCUCUGGGAUAAGCCUGGGAAGGCUGGGUCUAAUACCGGAUAUGACCUCGCGGUGCAUGUUGCGGGGUGGAAAGCCUUGUGCGGCUAGGGAUGGGCCCGCGGCCUAUCAGCUUGUUGGUGGGGUGAGGCCUACCAAGGCGACGACGGGUAGCCGGCCUGAGAGGGCGACCGGCCACACUGGGACUGAGACACGGCCCAGACUCCUACGGGAGGCAGCAGUGGGGAAUCUUGCGCAAUGGGCGAAAGCCUGACGCAGCGACGCCGCGUGAGGGAUGACGGCCU